GUUCUUUUGUAAAGCCCGUCCCACUCGUUUCCAGUCCCGUCCCACAUGAGCAGCAAACCGCUGCUGGUCUGCUGAAGUCAAAGGCCUAUCGUCUGAGAGCAUAGGGAAGGAGACGACAAACAUCAAACAUUUUGAAGAAAGCAGUUCCUGGGCAGCUCCUGCGGCGGUUGACUGGGAGGACCGAAGCUGUUCUGCAGCUGCUGCUCCAACUGUGUGACCUCGUCAUCUCGCAAACGCACAGGCUACAAAACAGCCAUCCAUUAAAUAAACAGCUGUUCAUUUGAAAACAUCUGAACUAUACUGUUACAUUCAUAGAAGAGCAAGACUGAUACAUCAGACUGGUUCACAUAACACCUGUACGUCUACAUUUGCAGACACAAUGUCCAUAAUGAGGACAGAGAAGGACGGCUUUAUAGCAAGAGGUCAGAAGCCAUCUGUUCUGAAUAGUUUUUUUGGCAUAAGAAGGUUGUGAAGGAUUAAUGAGAAUCCCAACAGAUCUUCUUCAUGUCACUCUUUGUUCAAGCUAAAUCAGCAAUAAUUCCUGAAAUCUCAGUCCGACAGCAAGCAUUCCUGAUUUUACACCAAAAAAAUGUAAAAUAGGGAAGGAAAAGGUUUUACAAAACCUUAGUGAAUAAUUAUUUUUGCCAAAUGUUUACUUACAAGAGCACCUAAAGGAACUGGAAGCUAAAGAAUGGUUUUUACAUCUCUGAUUCUGCAAAAGUAAAAACGAAUACUGAUUCAUAGUUCUGUCCUGACAAGGCUGCAGACAGCAGGGAAAAAUGGGUUAAAUGCAAAUUAUAAAAUUGCAACCAUCAUAGAAAUCAUAUAAAGAAAGUAUACAAACUAAAUAGGCCUAUUGACUUUUAAAAGGCAGGAAAAAUGCUUCUCAUGUCUGUUCUUGUUGAUGCCAAGUCAAGUAAGUACUUCUAGUCACUGCAUCUAACUCUACAGCACAAAUUAAGCUUUGAAGAAGUUGCCAGCAAAUGCCAACAUGUACAGGCGUGACAGAUGUGUGACAUCCACUCAUCCUCAAAACACACUGCAGUGAAUUAUUGGCUGCCAAGAGCAUUAAACCAUCAAUUUAAAAAGCAAAUUAGUCUAAUAGCACAUUUUUCUAUUCAGCCUGUAUUAUCUCUUGUAAUCAUGUUAAGAAUGCAUUUCGAUGUUUGAUCAUUUUAUUUACGUUUGUACUAUUUGGUUUCUGUGUUGGAUCUCCACUUAAUGUCCAAAAUAAAAUUUACAGCAGAGAAUCACUCCACCAAAAUGCAUUUUUUUUUAGUUGUUUUACACCAUUGAUACCUGGUACUACAAUACUGUUGCAAUAAUUUGAAAUUUGCAGACAUUUCACUGUUUUUGCAAACAUCACAUAUAAUCUACCACAAAAGGAGAAUAAACAGGUUUCAGAACAGUACAUAUGUUACAGCAUUCGCAUUUUGUAUAGAAAACUUGACAUUUAGGCAGUUAUCCAAAACAUGCUUAUGUGAUGAAAACAACUUAUCUUUAAUCUAUGAACCUGUAGUUUCUUCUCAGAGCUGAAAAUGUGUCAAGAACGUGCUCAAUUAACAUUUCUUAUUACUUGCUAGCAAUAUCUAAGGCUCUCUUGAUUCGGGGAAUUCCCAGCACCAUUUACACCAAUGACCUUGUGGCCUAAAUAUAAACUUUGCCUAAAUUCGAAUCAUCGUACACUUUAAGGUCAGAAAAAAAUUGUAAAACUGCCUCUGUUAAGCAGCAGUGAACUGUGAUUUACUUCCGUUAUCUGACGUCCUGUGCAAACAGCUGCUCAUAAAAGUACAGAGCAGUAUAAAGCUAUCCUGGCAGUCAUAUCAGUAUAAACAA